rnacentral:rRNA from 1 species
CGCAUGGCUAGGAGUUGGAAAGAAUUUUGGUCAAGGAUGGACUCGCGGCCUAUCAGCUAGUUGGUGAGGUAAUGGCUCACCAAGGCGACGACGGGUAGCCGGCCUGAGAGGGUGACCGGCCACACUGGGACUGAGACACGGCCCAGACUCCUACGGGAGGCAGCAGUGGGGAAUAUUGCACAAUGGGCGAAAGCCUGAUGCAGCAACGCCGCGUGAGGGAUGACGGCCUUCGGGUUGUAAACCUCUUUUAGUAGGGAAGAAGCGAAAGUGACGGUACCUGCAGAAAAAGCACCGGCUAACUACGUGCCAGCAGCCGCGGUAAUACGUAGGGUGCAAGCGUUGUCCGGAAUUAUUGGGCGUAAAGAGCUCGUAGGCGGUUUGUCGCGUCUGCUGUGAAAUCUGGGGGCUCAACCCCCAGCCUGCAGUGGGUACGGGCAGACUAGAGUGCGGUAGGGGAGAUUGGAAUUCCUGGUGUAGCGGUGGAAUGCGCAGAUAUCAGGAGGAACACCGAUGGCGAAGGCAGAUCUCUGGGCCGUAACUGACGCUGAGGAGCGAAAGCAUGGGGAGCGAACAGGAUUAGAUACCCUGGUAGUCCAUGCCGUAAACGUUGGGAACUAGAUGUGGGGGCCAUUCCACGGUCUCCGUGUCGCAGCUAACGCAUUAAGUUCCCCGCCUGGGGAGUACGGCCGCAAGGCUAAAACUCAAAGGAAUUGACGGGGGCCCGCACAAGCGGCGGAGCAUGCGGAUUAAUUCGAUGCAACGCGAAGAACCUUACCAAGGCUUGACAUAUACCGGAAACGUCCAGAGAUGGUCGCCCCGCAAGGUCGGUAUACAGGUGGUGCAUGGUUGUCGUCAGCUCGUGUCGUGAGAUGUUGGGUUAAGUCCCGCAACGAGCGCAACCCUCGUUCUAUGUUGCCAGCACGUUAUGGUGGGAACUCAUAGGAGACUGCCGGGGUCAACUCGGAGGAAGGUGGGGAUGACGUCAAAUCAUCAUGCCCCUUAUGUCUUGGGCUUCACGCAUGCUACAAUGGCCGGUACAAAGGGCUGCGAUACCGUAAGGUGGAGCGAAUCCCAAAAAGCCGGUCUCAGUUCGGAUUGAGGUCUGCAACUCGACCUCAUGAAGUCGGAGUCGCUAGUAAUCGCAGAUCAGCAACGCUGCGGUGAAUACGUUCCCGGGCCUUGUACACACCGCCCGUCAAGUCAUGAAAGUCGGUAACACCCGAAGCCAGUGGCCUAACCCUUGUGGAUGGAGCUGUCGAAGGUGGGAUCGGUGAUUAGGACUAAGUCGUAACAAGGUAGCCGUACCGGAAGGUGCGGCUGGAUCACCUCCUUUCU